rnacentral:rRNA from 1 species
UACGGAAGGUCCGGGCGUUAUCCGGAUUUAUUGGGUUUAAAGGGAGCGCAGGCGGGUUGUUAAGCGUGACGUGAAAUGUAGCCGCUCAACGGCUGAGUUGCGUCGCGAACUGGCGACCUUGAGUGGGUACGACGUGGACGGAAUUCGUGGUGUAGCGGUGAAAUGCUUAGAUAUCACGAAGAACUCCGAUUGCGAAGGCAGUCCGCGAGUCCUCUACUGACGCUAAAGCUCGAAAGUGCGGGUAU